rnacentral:rRNA from 1 species
AUUGAACGCUGGCGGCAGGCCUAACACAUGCAAGUCGAGCGGUAACAUUUYUAGCUUGYUAGAAGAUGACGAGCGGCGGACGGGUGAGUAAUGCUUGGGAACAUGCCUUGAGGUGGGGGACAACAGUUGGAAACGACUGCUAAUACCGCAUAAUGUCUACGGACCAAAGGGGGCUUCGGCUCUCGCCUUUAGAUUGGCCCAAGUGGGAUUAGCUAGUUGGUGAGGUAAUGGCUCACCAAGGCGACGAUCCCUAGCUGGUUUGAGAGGAUGAUCAGCCACACUGGGACUGAGACACGGCCCAGACUCCUACGGGAGGCAGCAGUGGGGAAUAUUGCACAAUGGGCGCAAGCCUGAUGCAGCCAUGCCGCGUGUGUGAAGAAGGCCUUCGGGUUGUAAAGCACUUUCAGUCAGGAGGAAAGGUUAGUAGUUAAUACCUGCUAGCUGUGACGUA